rnacentral:rRNA from 1 species
UGGAUAGGAAAUGAUCCAAACUUGACGGUACCUUAUUAGAAAGUGACGGCUAACUAUGUGCCAGCAGCCGCGGUAAUACAUAGGUCACAAGCGUUAUCCGGAAUUAUUGGGCGUAAAGCGUUCGUAGGCGGUUUGUUAAGUCUGGAGUUAAAGACUGGGGCUCAACCCCAGCCCGCUCUGGAUACUGGCUGACUAGAGUUACAUAGAGGUAAGUGGAAUUCUUAGUGGAGCGGUGGAAUGCGUAGAUAUUAGGAAGAACACCAAUGGCGAAGGCAGCUUACUGGAUGUACACUGACGCUCAGGGACGAAAGCGUGGGGAGCAAACAGGAUUAGAUACCCUGGUAGUCCACGCCGUAAACGAUGAUCAUUAGCCGCUAGAAUAUUUAGUGGCGCAGCUAACGCAUUAAAUGAUCCGCCUGAGUAGUAUGCUCGCAAGAGUGAAACUUAAAGGAAUUGACGGGGACCCGCACAAGCGGUGGAGCAUGUGGUUUAAUUUGAAGAUACGCGUAGAACCUUACCCACUCUUGACAUCUUCCGCAAUACUAUGGAGACAUAGUGGAGGUUAACGGAAUGACAGAUGGUACAUGGUUGUCGUCAGCUCGUGCCGUGAGGUGUUAGGUUAAGUCCUGCAACGAGCGCAACCCCUGUCUUUAAUUACUAACGGAUAAUGCCGAGGACUCUAGAGAGACUGACUGGGUAACCAGUAGGAAGGUGGGGACGACGUCAAAUCAUCAUGCCUCUUACGAGUGGGGCAACACACGUGCUACAAUGGACGGUACAAAGAGAAGCAAUAUGGUGACAUGGAGCAAACCUCAAAAACCGUUCUCAGUUCGGAUUGAAGUCUGAAACUCGACUUCAUGAAGUUGGAAUCGCUAGUAAUCGUAGAUCAGCUACGCUACGGUGAAUACGUUCUCGGGUCUUGUACACACCGCCCGUC